CCUCGCAGGAUGCCUGUAUUCAGUUAGGGAAAUGGUUGAAGACAAAAACUGAAGAAGCCACGGAGGACUGGUGAUUGCACUUAAGAAACAGCCUGAAACUAUCUGAGGCCUAAAGGAAGAUGCUGACAGAGUUACCAGUGGUUACAGACCCGGACUUCCUGUGAGGCGCCGCUGGUGGUCUGGCGCCCUCUGCUGGUGAAGUUGCCUGGCUUUCUCGUUGCUUGGUUUGCUCAGGAUUUUAUCUCCAUCUUGCUGGCGCAACAUCUUUCAGCAGAAUGUGCCAUUCUUAUACGAAGGUAAGAAGCCAUUCUGCUGGGCACCUUAUUUGAAGAAACACUCAAAGAGAAUCAAAGAAAGCAGGACUUGGCAUUUCUUCAACAGUAUACCCCUGUGUGUGAAUGCUCCCCUUUUCCUGCCAUCCGCCGAGGGGGCACUUUCAAGUACUCAGUUCCCAAUGUAGCCCUGGCCCCCCUCAGCUCUGGCACUCUUUAAAUUCCUUUGGCAAGAAAGUGAAUAUUCUUCUCCAGAACACACCAGGGGAGGCAGCCAAGAGGAAGAGAAGUCUGGGAGCCCUGGAAGAAGUUAGGCAGAAGCGCCUCAUCCUCAGGGAGCCAAGAUGGAGACGACCCAUGACUCGACCCUAGAAAGGCGGGUCAGCUUCUGCAGAGUGGUAGGGAGCACGGGCUCCUGGUGGAAAGAGGCAGGUCUUCAUGGACUGGGACCAAAUCCAACAGAUCAGCUGAG
rnacentral:lncRNA from 1 species